rnacentral:rRNA from 1 species
AAAUGCGUAGAUAUCGGGAGGAACACCAGUGGCGAAGGCGGCCUCCUGGCUUGCAUCUGACGCUGAGACGCGAAAGCGUGGGGAGCGAACGGGAUUAGAAACCCCGGUAGUCCACGCCGUAAACGAUGUCAACUAGGUGUUGGGGGUAUAAAAUCCGUCAGUACCGGAGCUAACGCAUUAAGUUGACCGCCUGGGGACUACGAUCGCAAGAUUAAAACUCAAAGGAAUUGACGGGGACCCGCACAAGCAGCGGAGCGUGUGGUUUAAUUCGAGGCUACGCGAAGAACCUUACCAGGGAUUGACAUGCACGUAGUAGGGAAGCGAAAGCGGACCGACCCUUCGGGGAGCGUGCACAGGUGAUGCAUGGCUGUCGUCAGCUCGUGCCGUGAGGUGUCAGGUUAAGUCCUGUAACGAGCGCAACCCCUAUCGUGUGUUAUACGUGUCACACGAGACUGCCGGUGUCAAACCGGAGGAAGGCGGGGAUGACGUCAAGUCAGCAUGUCCUUCAUAUCCUGGGCUACACACACGCUACAAUGGUCGGGACAACAGGCAGCCAAGCCGCGAGGCGGAGCAAAUCCUCUAAACCCGAUCUCAGUUCGGAUUGUAGGCUGCAACUCGCCUGCAUGAAGU